rnacentral:rRNA from 1 species
AUUGAACGCUGGCGGAAUGCUUUACACAUGCAAGUCGAACGAUGAAGUCUAGCUUGCUAGACGGAUUAGUGGCGAACGGGUGAGUAAUAUAUCGGAACGUAUCCAUUAAUGGGGGAUAACUAGUCGAAAGAUUGGCUAAUACCGCAUACGGCCUACGGGAGAAAGCUAGGGACCUUCGGGCCUGGCGUUAAUGGAGCGGCCGAUAUCUGAUUAGCUAGUUGGUGAGGUAAAGGCUCACCAAGGCGACGAUCAGUAGCUGGUCUGAGAGGACGACCAGCCACACUGGAACUGAGACACGGUCCAGACUCCUACGGGAGGCAGCAGAGGGGAAUUUUGGACAAUGGGCGCAAGCCUGAUCCAGCAAUUCCGCGUGAGUGAAGAAGGCCUUCGGGUUGUAAAGCUCUUUCGCAAGGGUAGAAAACUUACCCUCUAACAUAGGGUGAGGAUGACGGUACCUUGAUAAGAAGCACCGGCUAACUACGUGCCAGCCGCCGCCGUAAAAC